ACAACGGAUCUCUUGGUUCUGGCAUCGAUGAAGAACGCAGCAAAAUGCGAUAAGUAAUGUGAAUUGCAGAAUUCAGUGAAUCAUCGAAUCUUUGAACGCACAUUGCGCCCGCCAGUAUUCUGGCGGGCAUGCCUGUUCGAGCGUCAUUUC
rnacentral:rRNA from 1 species